CCUACGGGAGGCUGCAGUGAGGAAUAUUGGUCAAUGGGCUUACGCCUGAACCAGCCAAGUCGCGUGAGGGAAGACUGCCCUAUGGGUUGUAAACCUCUUUUGUCAGGGAGCAACGCCGGCUACGUGUAGCCGGACUGAGAGUACCUGAAGAAAAAGCAUCGGCUAACUCCGUGCAAGCAGCCGCGGUAAUACGGAGGAUGCGAGCUUUAUCCGGAUUUAUUGGUUUAAAAGGGUGCGUAGGCGGAAUGCCAAGUCAGCGGUAAAAUUGCGGGGCUCAACCUCGCUCCGCCGUUGAAACUGGCAUUCUUGAGUAGGCGAGAAGUAUGCGGAAUGCGUGGUGUAGCGGUGAAAUGCAUAGAUAUCACGCAGAACUCCGAUUGCGAAGGCAGCAUACCGGCGCCCAACUGACGCUGAAGCACGAAAGCGUGGGUAUCGAACAGGAUUAGAUACCCUUGUAGUC
rnacentral:rRNA from 1 species